rnacentral:lncRNA from 1 species
GAAAACUCCUGCAUAGCAUCUGUCUGUGUGACAGGGGCUUCCCUGAGCAGGGACUCCUCUCAAGGUUAUACAGAUUCAGAGAUCUCUUACACCUUGAUAUCAAGAUGCCUUGCUGAUACAGAACCGUGACCUUGAGUAGGAGGAUGUCUUUGAGUGUGGAAUGAGUACAGACUACACGUAGGAGGCCUAAAGGACUACAUCUUUGAAGAACUACGCGUAGAUUCAUGAAAUGUUUCAGAAUUUCUUCUGGGAUCUGACCUACAAAAAUCAACAGGAUUUAUGAUACCCUGCAGUUUACAGCAAGCACUUAACAAAUACUCCUAUUUCAGAUACAAAACUAAUAAUGUUCAAAUAUAGUCUCGGAUGUUGCAGUCUUUGCUGUUCACUGAAUAGUUUUCCAGCAAAUGUCAAGGAAGGAUGCCAAGGAAAGAGCUGUGCUGUAUGAGCUGAGAGUACUGCAUGAGAUGCCUUGAUGAAAUAAAUUGGUAAUUGUUGCAGAAAGUGAAAGUAGACAGAGUGACACCUACAGCUUCUGCUUGUGCCUCGCAGACUGGAGUUGUCCCUUGGAAAUCCAGAGGGCUCAGCAGAGCAUCUUCUCAUGACCUGAAUGUUGAGCUGUUUGCUGCUGGAUGCUGAUGAACUGAGCAUGUUGCACUGUUUGGGACCUUAUUACCCAGCCUGACUGUUCUUUUUCUGUACACAUAAGUUGGGCUUUAAAUUAAAAGCUAGGUGGAGCAAGGACUGGCAUCAAUAUGUGCUGAGACACAGCCUAACACAGCCAAGUCCAGCAGCAGGUUUUGGUAGUUGACUGGCAUCUCAAUAUCUGACAACACCAAUAAUAAGUAGUAGCCUCGGCCUUAAAGCAUUGCUCAUCUGAUCAUAGAAGUCAGUCCUAAAUGAGCUGAGUGAGUCCUAAAUGAAUGAGUCCUGCUAGCCUAUAUGUCACAGAAGUGAAAUAAGUGUUACCACACAGGCAGCCUAUAGUCCCUUGUAUUACCCACAUUUGGAUCCUUCCAGUGACCUUAUCUUGGUUGGAAUUAAUGAUGAAUUAUGAGGAACUUCCUUUGGCUAUCAUUAGACUUUUGGCUCAGUGUCCUAGAAAUUUCUUCAGUGCAAGACUGUUGAUAUCACUCUUAAUUAAUAAUCAUUUGUUAUCGGCUUAAUUCAGUUGUUUGGUUUCUAACUUUCAGCUGUGUAGUCUAAACAUUUCCCAAGUGCAGAUAAACUGCUUUAACUAAAAAUGUUAUGAUUUUGAUAUUGACUUGAUGUCUUCCUGGCAUAGUGUGAAGAUUUCAUUCUUCCAUCUCUUUGAUUAAUAGAGCUAUUGCAAACCCUACUAUUUAGGGUACCAAGGAGUGAAAUAGCUGCGCACCGCAUAGGUUAACCUAGGUAAGAGUUAUAAAGUCCUGUUUCUGUGAAAAGCUAAUUGCUCUGAAACUGCUCCAUUCUUCAGUAUGCAGUAUGGUUAAUCAUUGUUAUUCUUUUACACAGAGUACUGAAGAGUUCGGUCUAAGUAUCAAGAAACUUUUCUGCAAAACUCUCUGCUAGGGAAUUGUGAGGCCUUUGCCCCAAAGAGCUGUCAGGUCUCACAUCUUUACACUGAACAGGGGCAGUCCUCUGGUCACCAGCCAGUCACCAGGUGCUCUCAGCAGCACAUGCUGGGCCAUUCACAAACUUCAUAUGUUUGUUCCCACACCCUCCAUCAAAGAUGCUCUGGGGGUUACAGCUGUGCUUUGGGUAAUCACAGUCUUUGGCGUAGUCAAAAUAGGAAUGCUCAGCUUCAUUUUUACUAAUGCAGCUCAUUUUAUCCUGCCAGUUUGUAACCAAAGUUGCAUUUGAGUUUUGCAGACUCAGCCCAUGCCCUCUUAUAAACAAACCAAGCAGAUUUUAUCAAUGGUAUCAGCAGGGACAUUUCAUUUAGUUGGGAAAAGUUCUGUUAAAACUAAGACACUUAAACAAUUAUCUGUCUUGAAAAUCAUUUUAAAAGCCUUCAUAUUUUAGAGUUUUUUUUAAACUGAAUUUACUGCAGCUGUUAUUUUCAUUAUUAUUGAUAUUAUAAUUGAUACCAUUUCUUUUCUGGGAUUACAUAUUUGGAUUUGCUGUCAUACACUGAUCAGCAGCCAUAAAAUAGAGUUAACAUCUUAGUAAACAUCUCAGGUUUAAGCAAAGAAUCUUGCAGAGUAUUCCCACUGCUUGGGGAUGAAAUAUUAGGUACAUUCAGUUUUCUUUUGCAGAUGUUUCUCUCUCCCUGUAUAGGUCAGGGACAUCAAAAACAGUGUCUGUGUGUGUAAAACUUAUGGCUGUUAUCUCGUUAUUAAACUGGAAGUCUGCACCG